CGGAAAAAAUAAUAAUAAUAAAAAAACCCAAUAAAAUGGCUUGUUGGCAAGAUUGGUAACCUGUCUAUGGAGUGAAAGAAGACAAUUGUUUUCCUCCUCCAGAAGAGAUCAAAUGCAUCUUAAUGCAACAGUCCAUCUAAAGUGGCAUGCACCAUGGAAUAAUUGACAUCAUCUACAUAAUUAAAGAUAUAAUCUUUUGUAUUUUGUAUGGAAAUGUAAAUAUCUUUUUGCAUAUUUAAUUGUUAUAAUAUCAACGCUGCAUUUUUUGCAUUGUUGCAAUGUAGCUCAUCUUCUUUCCAAUGGAGAUCAGGACGUGCUGGAGGUACUAAUGUGCCAAAACCUAGUAACCCUUCCAUGGCUUUCACAACCGCACAUCAAUCACCAUGAACCACCUCCUCCUCUGUCGAGCCCACCUUUAUGUCCAGCACCUCUGCCAUGAACCCUAAUCCAAGAGAUACAAAAGUCGAAAUCUUGAAAGAGUAUCAACUCUAAAAUCUCAAGUCAUAGAAAUAUCAGAGGGCAAUUCACCAACUUCUUGGGUUUCUUACCAUAAAUAUUUGACAACUCUCUCUCAUUAUGUAAUGGAAGCUCUUCUCAGAUGUGAU
rnacentral:lncRNA from 1 species